rnacentral:tRNA from 1 species
GGCUAUAGCUCAGUGGUAGAGUGCUUGCCUACCACAUGAGGCCCUGGGUUCGAUCCUCAGCACCA